rnacentral:rRNA from 1 species
GCGCGUAGGUGGCUUGAUAAGCCGGUUGUGAAAGCCCCGGGCUCNNNCUGGGAACGGCAUCCGGAACUGUCAGGCUAGAGUGCAGGAGAGGAAGGUAGAAUUCCCGGUGUAGCGGUGAAAUGCGUAGAGAUCGGGAGGAAUACCAGUGGCGAAGGCGGCCUUCUGGACUGACACUGACACUGAGGUGCGAAAGCGUGGGUAGCAAACAGGAUUAGAUACCCUGGUAGUCCACGCCGUAAACGAUGUCGACCAGCCGUUGGGUGCCUAGAGCACUUUGUGGCGAAGUUAACGCGAUAAGUCGACCGCCUGGGGAGUACGGCCGCAAGGUUAAAACUCAAAUGAAUUGACGGGGGCCCGCACAAGCGGUGGAGCAUGUGGUUUAAUUCGAUGCAACGCGAAGAACCUUACCUACCCUUGACAUCUACAGAAGCCGGAAGAGAUUCUGGUGUGCCUUCGGGAACUGUAAGACAGGUGCUGCAUGGCUGUCGUCAGCUCGUGUUGUGAAAUGUUGGGUUAAGUCCCGUAACGAGCGCAACCCUUGUCCUUAUUUGCCAGCACGUAAUGGUGGGAACUCUAAGGAGACUGCCGGUGACAAACCGGAGGAAGGUGGGGACGACGUCAAGUCAUCAUGGCCCUUACGGGUAGGGCUACACACGUGCUACAAUGGCCGGUACAAAGGGCUGCGAGCUCGCGAGAGUCAGCGAAUCCCUUAAAGCCGGUCUCAGUCCGGAUCGGAGUCUGCAACUCGACUCCGUGAAGUCGGAAUCGCUAGUAAUCGUGAAUCAGAAUGUCACGGUGAAUACGUUCCCGGGCCUUGUACACACCGCCCGUCACACCAUGGGAGUGGACUGCACCAGAAGUGGUUAGCCUAACGCAAGAGGGCGAUCACCACGGUGUGGUUCAUGACUGGGGGUGAA